AUUGAACGCUGGCGGCAGGCUUCACACAUGCAAGUCGAACGAGUGGCGGACGGGUGAGUAAUGCUUGGGCAUCUAGCUUAUGGAGGGGGAUAACUACGGGAAACUGUAGCUAAUACCGCAUACCAUCGGAUGAGCCCAAGUGGGAUUAGGUAGUUGGUGGGGGAAAGGCUCACCAAGGCGACGAUCCCUAGCUGGUCUGAGAGGAUGACCAGCCACACUGGGAAUGAGACACGGCCCAGACUCCUACGGGAGGCAGAAGUGGGGAAGAUUGCGCAAUGGGGGCAAGCUGAUGCAGCCAUGCCGCGUGAAUGAAGAAGGCCUUCGGGUUGUAAAGUGCUUUCGGUAGCGAGGCGUUAACUACAGAAGAAGCACCGGCUAACUCCGUGCCAGCAGCCGCGGUAAUAC
rnacentral:rRNA from 1 species